rnacentral:rRNA from 1 species
AUCCUACGGGACGCAGCAGUGAGGAAUAUUGGUCAAUGGACGAGAGUCUGAACCAGCCAAGUCGCGUGAAGGAUGACUGCCCUAUGGGUUGUAAACUUCUUUUAUAUGGGAAUAAAAUGUUCCACGUGUGGGAUUUUGUAUGUACCAUAUGAAUAAGGAUCGGCUAACUCCGUGCCAGCAGCCGCGGUAAUACGGAGGAUCCGAGCGUUAUCCGGAUUUAUUGGGUUUAAAGGGUGCGUAGGCGGGAUGCCAAGUCAGCGGUAAAAAUGCGGUGCUCAACGCCGUCGAGCCGUUGAAACUGGCGG